UACGAGGGGUCCUAGCGUUGCUCGGAAUCAUUGGGCGUAAAGCGGGUGUAGGCGGACAACCAAGUCAGAUGUGAAAGCCCCGGGCUCAACCCGGGAAGUGCAUUUGAAACUGGUUAUCUUGAGUACAGUAGAGGAAGGUGGAAUUCCAAGUGUAGUGGUGAAAUACGUAGAUAUUUGGAGGAACAUCGGUGGCGAAGGCGACCUUCUGGACUGUUACUGACGCUGAGACCCGAAAGCGUGGGGAUCAAACAGG
rnacentral:rRNA from 1 species